GUGUUAACACUGGCGGUGACUACAUGACUACGUGCCACAAUUAUUCGCAGGUAUUGGAUCGAUGUCAGAUAUCAGUAUCGGAUAAGCCAUGCGUCUUAUGACAACACAAGAAACAGUGAACAAGAACAAGGAAAUGCUGUACCACGCCUAGGAAGGGAG